GGGGCCGACAGGUAUCGACCGGACAGGGAAUGUGCAGUGUGGCGUGUCGCGGCGAACGUGGACCGCGUCAACAAGCGUUCAACACUUAUAACUGCCGAACCGCAGUUUGCAAUGGCCGCCUGAGAUUCAGGCGCCUGAGCGUCGCCCGACGCCCGAUGGGGCGGCGCUCAAUGACAUCGGGCUUAGCUUCAAUGGGGCGUCUCAGCGCGGCGAAGCGAAACUUUUCUGAGACUGGCGCGAAGAUGAGGGUGCUCGCCCUCGCAUCAAGCGUGAGAUCAAAUGGUGAGACACACACGUAGAGGCGCUGCGCGGACUGUUUCGGCACGGGGGUUCAACUCCCCCCGGCUCCACUG
rnacentral:tmRNA from 1 species